GACGAACCGUGCGAACGUUGUUCGGAAUCACUGGGCUUAAAGGGCGCGUAGGUGGGUGGUCAAGUCUGUGGUGAAAUCCUCCAGCUUAACUGGAGAACGGCCGUGGAUACUGACUGUCUCGAGGGAGGUAGGGGCGUGCGGAACUAUCGGUGGAGCGGUGAAAUGCGUUGAUAUCGAUAGGAACUCCGGUGGCGAAGGCGGCACGCUGGACCUUUUCUGACACUGAGGCGCGAAAGCCAGGGGAGCAAACGGG
rnacentral:rRNA from 1 species